rnacentral:rRNA from 1 species
UCGGGAAUUUUGGGCAAUGGGCGAAAGCCUGAUGGAGCGAUGUCGCGUGAUGGACGAAGUGCUUCGGCACGUAAACAUCUUUUAUGUGGGAUGAAAUUAUUGACAGUACCACAUGAAUAAGGGGCUCCUAACUCUGUGCCAGCAGGAGCGGUAAUACAGAGGCCCCAAGCGUUAUCCGGAAUCACUGGGCGUAAAGGGUGUCGAGGCGGUUGUAUUAGUCGUUCGUAAAAUCUACGAGCUUAACUUGUAGGCGGCGAACGAAACGGUACGACUUGAGGUUUGGAGAGGUGCGUGGAACUCACGGUGUAGGGGUGAAAUCCGUUGAUAUCGUGGGGAACACCAAAGGCGAAGGCAGCGCACUGGCCAAAAUCUGACGCUCACACACGAAAGCUAGGGGAGCAAACGGGAUUAGAUACCCCCGUAGUCCCUGAGCGGGCUGGCAAGGCGCAU